rnacentral:rRNA from 1 species
UACGUAGGGUGCAAGCGUUGUCCGGAAUUAUUGGGCGUAAAGAGCUCGUAGGCGGUUUGUCGCGUCUGCUGUGAAAACUCAGGGCUUAACCCUGAGCCUGCAGUGGGUACGGGCAGACUAGAGUGUGGUAGGGGAGAUCGGAAUUCCUGGUGUAGCGGUGGAAUGCGCAGAUAUCAGGAGGAACACCGGUGGCGAAGGCGGAUCUCUGGGCCAUAACUGACGCUGAGGAGCGAAAGCGUGGGGAGCGAACAGG